GGGGAUAGCUCAGUGGUAGAGUGCCUGUCUAGCAUGCACAAGGUCCUGGGUUCAAUCCCCAGUAACUCCA
rnacentral:tRNA from 1 species